AGCCAUUGUGUCCUUUGUGAACGUGAACAAUUCACAUUGGAAGUUUCUCUAUUUGAAUGCUGCAGACAGCACUGUUUAUCUGGUUGACCCUGCACACAGUUCAACUGAGCAGACGGAGUCGGACCAAGCAGCCAAACGAUUCAGGAAUUAUUUCCAAAUGAGGAGAACUACCCGCAGUAAAACUGACUGGGUCGAUGUGAAGUGGAAGGGAGGGGUUCUGCAACACCCAUUGCAAAGGGAUGGAAGCAGCUGCGGAGUAA